ensembl:lncRNA
GUGAUAUUAAGGUUUUGUAGACGUUUAAGAGGAUUAGACAACGGAAAUCGAGAUAUUUGGUGUCUUUAAAUGAGUUGUUUGCUGACCUCUGCUGGUUUUGAUUUGAAAGUACAAUUUGAACUUUUGCAUCCCCUUAUAAAACACAAAAACAACUUGCAAAAUACUUAACAUUAUUUAAACAGGAGUAAUUUCAUUCAGAAAUCCAAAAUGAGCAUGAAAUAAAUAAAAUAUGAACAUGUCCUAUUUGCUGCAUUUGCCCCCCCCAUACACACACACACACACACACACACACACACACACAUUAUUACGGUGUGGUUUGUUUGUAAUUAAUUAAUUUAUAACUGAACUGAAUGUAUGUCUGAAGAUAGGUAUUUCUUGAUAUAAAAUGUUCCACAAAGUCUUUCAUACUUAAACUGACUUUAAUUCAUAGUUUGAUGGUUGCUAAGACGUCUCUUUGUUUCCUCAACAAUGUCCCCACUGUGCUCUGUCCACAGGCAGAGUCUCUGAAUGAGAACUUGAAACUCUUGCUGCCUGGCAACCUUGUUGUAUCCACUGCUCCAUGCUGAGCUGGCUUAAAUUUAUUUUAAUUUUUUUGAUCAAACACGGCCUUUGAACUCUUUACUGUCUACUUUGUCAUGGCUGAAUGACAGCCACGCUGCUGUAAGAAAGAUUAUUGAUCUGAGUGUAAAGAUGCGGCUGAUUCACAAUGAAUCUACCUGAGCCUUUGGAAACUCCCAUGUCUGUUGACCUCAGAAGAAAGCUGCUCUUUUCUGUGAGUCAGAACUUGAUCUCAAGCAGGAGUUGUGGACUCAUCCCACCACACCCAGUAGUUCCCGUUGAUCCAUGGAACAUAAAGGCCCCCGACUUCACCCCAAAACUGUACAGAUCUUCGGGUUUGCCACGGAUCAAGAGCAAAAACAUUCACCUGGUUAAAUCAAACAACAGUGUGGAAGGAAAAUCUUUUAUUUUGGAAAAGAUUAAUGAUGUUACCCCUUCAAUAUUGCCUGGAUUUGAGCAAAAGGGAUGUAAAGCACGACCAUUUGUCAAAUUCUACAAACCACCAGACUCACUAGAGUCAAAACUGCUGUUUGUGAGAGGAGGGAUGUAUCCAGUGGGGCCGUACAAAGAUCCAAAACCUCAUAACUUCAGACCUUGUGCUGAGGGAAUGCCGGAAAUGGUGACCUCUUUAGAAAAGGAUCCUGGCUGCUUGAUCCUAAAGUCUCAGUGCCUAAAAGCAGUCAGUGACAGCCAUCCUGACCUGAACCCUUCUCACAGCGACACAGUGAGCCAAAUAGACACUUUCAAACCAGCAGAGCUUAAAUGGGACCCAAGGCUCAUACUACCAAAGACACCAUGGCCUCCAAAAUCUGCGUCUUAUACAAGACAUCGCCGCAGAAGAGGAGUAUAUAGUGCCUUAAUGGACCGAGUUGAAGAAAAGCUGACCAACUCCUGGAAGAAAUGAAUCUGGUUUAAGACAAAAGAAAGAAUUUUGUGUUGUGGUGUGCAGAUAAAGCUAGUUUAAACAUCAGUUUUCUGCUUUGUCUAAUGAGUCCUGCUGUUUUAUGGAGAACCCAUAAAACAGGAGAAUUAUUAUACACAUUUACAUUUAGUCAUUUAGCAGAUGCUUUUAUCCAAAGUGACUUACAAAUGAGGACAAUGGCAAUCAAAAGCAAUCAAAAACAAGUGCUAUAACAAGUCUCAGUUAGCUUAAACGCAGUACACGUAGCAAGGGCUUUUAAAUAAUAUAAUAAAUAAAAAGAAAACAGAUAGAAUAGAAAAAGA